rnacentral:rRNA from 1 species
GAUGAACGCUGGCGGCGUGCCUAAUACAUGCAAGUCGAGCGAACGGACGAGAAGCUUGCUUCUCUGAUGUUAGCGGCGGACGGGUGAGUAACACGUGGAUAACCUACCUAUAAGACUGGGAUAACUUCGGGAAACCGGAUCUAAUACCGGAUAAUAUUUUGAACCGCAUGGUUCAAAAGUGAAGGACGGUCUUGCUGUCACUUAUAGAUGGAUCCGCGCUGCAUUAGCUAGUUGGUAAGAUAACGGCUUACCAAGGCAACGAUGCAUAGCCGACCUGAGAGGGUGAUCGGCCACACUGGAACUGAGACACGGUCCAGACUCCUACGGGAGGCAGCAGUAGGGAAUCUUCCGCAAUGGGCGAAAGCCUGACGGAGCAACGCCGCGUGAGUGAUGAAGGUCUUCGGAUCGUAAAACUCCGUUAUUAGGGAAGAACAUAUGUGUAAGUAACUGUGCACAUCUUGACGGUACCUAAUCAGAAAGCCACGGCUAACUACGUG